rnacentral:rRNA from 2 species
ACUGGGAUAACUAUUGGAAACAAUAGCUAAUACCGGAUAUAGUUAUUUAUCGCAUGAUGAGUAAUAGAAAGGAGCUUCACAGCUUCACUUAAAAAUGGGGGUGCGGAACAUUAGUUAGUUGGUAGGGUAAUGGCCUACCAAGACGAUGAUGUUUAGCCGGGCCGAGAGGCUGUACGGCCACACUGGGACUGAGAUACGGCCCAGACUCCUACGGGAGGCAGCAGUAAGGAAUUUUCCACAAUGAGCGAAAGCUUGAUGGAGCGACACAGCGUGCAGGAUGAAGUUCUUCGGAAUGUAAACUGCUGUUAUAAGGGAAGAAAAAAUAGAAUAGGAAAUGAUUUUAUCUUGACGGUACCUUAUUAGAAAGCGACGGCAAACUAUGUGCCAGCAGCCGCGGUAAUACAUAGGUCGCAAGCGUUAUCCGGAAUUAUUGGGCGUAAAGCGUCCGUGGGUUUUUUGCUAAGUCUGGAGUUAAAUGCUGAAGCUCAACUUCAGUCCGCUUUGGAUACUGGCAAAAUAGAAUUAUAAAGAGGUUAGCGGAAUUCCUAGUGAAGCGGUGGAAUGCGUAGAUAUUAGGAAGAACACCAAUAGGCGAAGGCAGCUAACUGGUUAUAUAUUGACACUAAGGGACGAAAGCGUGGGGAGCAAACAGGAUUAGAUACCCUGGUAGUCCACGCCGUAAACGAUGAUCAUUAGUUGGUGGAAUAAUUUCACUAACGCAGCUAACGCGUUAAAUGAUCCGCCUGAGUAGUAUGCUCGC